UGCCAGCCGCCGCGGUAAUACGGAGGGUGCAAGCGUUGUUCGGAAUUACUGGGCGUAAAGCGCGCGUAGGCGGCUUUUUAAGUCAGAUGUGAAAGUCCACGGCUCAACCGUGGAAGUGCAUUUGAAAUUGGGAGGCUUGAGUAUUGGAGGGGGUGGUGGAAUUCCCGGUGUAGAGGUGAAAUUCGUAGAUAUCGGGAGGAAUACCGGUGGCGAAGGCGACACACUGGACAGCAACUGACGCUGAGGCGCGAAAGCUAGGGGAGCGAACGGGAUUAGAUA
rnacentral:rRNA from 1 species